rnacentral:rRNA from 1 species
UUGCUACCCGCUGACGAGCGGCGGACGGGUGAGUAAUGCAUAGGAAACUGCCCAGUAGUGGGGGAUAGCCCGGGGAAACCCGGAUUAAUACCGCAUACGUCCUUCGGGAGAAAGCAGGGGAUCUUCGGACCUUGCGCUAUUGGAUGUGCCUAUGUCGGAUUAGCUGGUUGGUGAGGUAAUGGCUCACCAAGGCGACGAUCCGUAGCUGGUCUGAGAGGAUGAUCAGCCACAUCGGGACUGAGACACGGCCCGAACUCCUACGGGAGGCAGCAGUGGGGAAUAUUGGACAAUGGGGGCAACCCUGAUCCAGCCAUGCCGCGUGUGUGAAGAAGGCUUUCGGGUUGUAAAGCACUUUCAGUGAGGAGGAAAAGUUAGUCCUUAAUACGGGCUAGCCUUGACGUUACUCACAGAAG